UACGGGGGGGGCAAGCGUUGUUCGGAAUUACUGGGCGUAAAGGGUUCGUAGGUGGCUGGCUAAGUCAGACGUGAAAUCCCUCAGCUUAACUGGGGAACUGCGUCUGAGACUGGCGAGCUUGAGUGCAGGAGAGGAACGCGGAAUUCCAGGUGUAGCGGUGAAAUGCGUAGAUAUCUGGAGGAACACCGGUGGCGAAGGCGGCGUUCUGGACUGUAACUGACACUGAGGAACGAAAGCCAGGGUAGCAAACGGG
rnacentral:rRNA from 1 species